CUUGACACUGAACACUGGUCCUUGAUGUGUAGGAUAGGUGGGAGGCUUUGAAGCGUGGACGCCAGUCUGCGUGGAGCCGUCCUUGAAAUACCACCCUUUAAUGGCUGGUGUUCUAACGUAGACCCGUUACCCGGGUUGCGGACAGUGUCUGGUGGGUAGUUUGACUGGGGCGGUCUCCUCCCAAAGAGUAACGGAGGAGCACGAAG
rnacentral:rRNA from 1 species